rnacentral:misc_RNA from 1 species
CUAAAGACGAUAGGCACAGACAUUUGACCUGCUGACAUGUAGAGUGCCUUUGAGGCAGAGUUAACGAUGUGAUCAAUUGCCUGCAUGGCAAAGUUGAAGGUCAUAAACUCAAUAACAGGAUGGAGACCACGGUAUGCAGCCCCAACUCCAAUUCCAGCAAAUCCAGCCUCUGUUAUUGGAGUAUCAAUAACCCUCUCAGGACCAAAUUUGUCCAGCAAACCCUUGGAAAUCUUGUAUGCACCUUGGUACUCGCCAACCUCUUCACCCAUCAAGAAAACCUUUGGAUCAGCGGACAUUUCCUCAUCAAGGGCAGAGUUCAGAGCAUCACGCACAGUCAUCUCUUUCGUUCCGGUCGCAUAACUCCUCGGCAAAACAGCCGCUGCCGAUGGCCGGAUCCUCUCGAGCACCUUCCCCGCAGCCAAUGAGCCGAUACUCCCGCAUCGGAUCUUCCACAUCGUAUCGAUCGGGCAAGCAAAUCAAAACCCUUAAGAUCUCGAGGUUGCUGGAGGAGGGAGCGCUUCGCCUACCGGUCUUCGGAUCGAGGAUGAAAAGGAAAAGGACGGG